AUCCGUGCGGGGCUCGAUUCGUCAGGGCUGCUUGUGGACGGAAGUCGGCUUGUUUUAUUACUUCGAUGUCGAACUGCUUCAUACAUUUGAUGUCAAAUUCAUACAGUGAACGGCAGGACGAGCAGUGACAUGGCCGCUGAUGACAAGUCCUCGACGGACUGGAGCGUCGACCCGCCUGUCAUCUCGCCCACCAGCCCCUCCCAUCUGACCCACUUCAAACCACUGACUCCAGAGCAGGAUGACCCCCCCCUCCGCUCCGCAUACAGCUCGUUUGUCAACCUGUUUCGUUUCAACAACAAAGAGGAGGGACGUCCUCCCUCGACGGUUUCAGAGAAGCCAGAUGUGACGCCUCCUUCUCCUCAGUCAGAGAGGAGCUGGUCCACCAGUCCAACACACUCCCUCUACAAUUCCAGGACGCACCGGAAACAGCUCCCAGACCUCCGACGUACCUCCACUGCCUCCGGUA